ensembl:lncRNA novel transcript
GUGUCAGAGCUGCUGCUUUCUGCAUUAUCGCAACUGCCAGCUCCAGCUCCUGCAGUUUCCCAGUCGCAAUGCAGCAAAGCAGAAGCAGACAACUAGGCACAAAGCAACAGAGUUUUAAAGUUUUCUUCUCCUGCUACUACUUAGCAUGUCUUACAUGAGGAGUAUUUACCUUUGUUUAGCCAGGAGCAGAGAUGCAUCCUGAAUGUACACGAUGGCUUCUAACUUGGCAGCGUGAAUUUUCAGCUGAGCAGGUACUGCUCGGAGACUUGUAACCAAACCGCCUCUGAUGGAGCACGGCUGGUCUCCCACCAUGUGUGUGAAUAGUUUGGGGGCUUCUUAUGCCACGCUGCUCUACCUGCAGGAAUAAAGGCUAGGACAAAGGAGAGGAUGCUUGCUAUGGUUUGUCUGGCUGGGGCCUGUGCGAGCGACUCACCGCACUGAUGCUGUGUGACUCCCCAGCUCACAUUUAAGGCUGGUCACGGGGCUGGCGCAGAUCCCCACUCCUCAGUUAGCGCACGGUUUAAAGGAGAAACCAGACUCCCUGACCUAAAUCACUCCCAGUCCUCUCUGGAUGCGGGACAGCUGUCGACUAGCAGUGACACAACCAGCCAUCAAGUGGAGAAUCGUUGCGACUGCAGUCUGUGUGCAGGUGGAGCCCGGGAGAAUGACAGUCUAAUUUCGGUCAUCCAACGGCUUUUCCUUAUUUUCCUAAAUAAUCGUGCUCGCUAAGUAUACAGUUGUCUGGAUUAGCCUGCCUGCCAUGCAGUCCUCAUCAACUCUGGCUGGAAAUCAGGGUGCCAGGCAAGCCGCCUUUAGCCCUGGCUCCUUUCUGCGUGAUGCUAUGCAGCUAGGAUGGGUCAUGCUGACAACAAAGAAGGAAGCAGAAAGCAUCACUUUCUCUUCUCUUGUGAUGUUAGCGGAACAUAACUCUUCUUCGCAGUGAUGCCCUUGUGUGUGGUGUAUGUGUGUGUGUGUGUGUGUGUGUUUUAAUUCAUCUAAUCGAAGAGCCCAACAAAUAUCAUCAUGGAUGUGAUUUUUAAUAAUUUGGAAAAAACAAAAAAAGACAGCCUGUGGAGACAGCGAUUCGAAACAGCGGCACAUUUAGGUUAUUGCCAAUUUGAAAUACUUGGUUUGUGAAGCUGAGCCCUAAGGGACAAGCUCGGUAACUGAGGAAGAGAUCGUAGAUAAAGAAAUAAAAAUGACAAGCGUAAUGGAGGCUCUGCGAAGGGACUGUCAGAGCAUCAGUUCAUGGAUGGCAAUUUCACCAGGCUGAGAUUGAAUAAUUCAUAGAUUGAAAUUACCCUGCUUUCACCUUUCCAUUUAAGCCGGCAUGAUCUGAAUCUCUCAUAAAUUUUCAAGAUAAAGUAAAAUGCCAAUUUGAAUCUGAAGAGCUUUUAAAACCAGAUGCUGCAUCCCUGAAUCUUUCGGUAUCUUUCACAAUUAUCCUAUGAGAACAGCACUUCAUCACGAAGCACCAUUACCAGGGAAAAUUACGGUGAUUACAAUAGCAACAAUAGAAUACCAUCAAAUGAUCUCUAAUUUACCUAAUUUGCUAAGACUGACUGUACGGUUUUGAUAUCCAUUGUAUGUCACCAUGCCCGGCACCCGUGAAGCUAUCUCGCACUGGAACAAAAGUGGCAUCGUGUGUGUGUGUGUGUAUGUGUGUAUGUGCACGCACACCCUGCUACCUUAACUGUGAAUGCCUAGCAAAGAACAUUCUCCUAGGUUACAAUAUUUCUUUCCUUUGGUUCACAUUUUCGCUUUUUUCCAAUGCCUCUACCCCAAAUGUGUUUGGGGAAAUGGAGAGCCUGUCAUGGGUUGGGAGACUGUUUUUUGAUACAGAAGAGCAUUGACUUGUUAAUUUAUAUACCCUCUUUAUUUUAAUGUAUACAAGCCUGUGUUUACUAAAAGGGAGGGAGGAUGCUGUUCUGGGAGAGUAAUUUUAAAAUGCAGCCGAGAUGUAGCAUAUGUGUUUGUUUCUUCUUUGAAACCCCUGUCUGUCUCUUUCAGGUUAGAAAUCCUUUCAGGGAAGUUUAGUCCUGGUGUGAUGUGUCAAAAACCUCUCAGAUUGCAAAGAAGCUCAGGAGAUACAAUCAGUAAUAACUCUGUACAGCUUUUAUUAAAAGCAUGCAUGUUCAAUUCAGUGAUUAAAUGAAGCUUCGGUACAACUUCGGC